rfam:Myotis lucifugus cont2.50907, whole genome shotgun sequence.
GCCCACAUGGCUCAGUGGUUGAGCAUUGAUCUAUGAACCAGGAGGUCAGGGUUCCAUUCCCAGUCAGGGCA